UUUAAAUGUAGCUGUAAAUUUCUGUGUCUAACUUUAAUCACCCACCUUAUUUAAUUUUUUAUAAUUAGUAUUUUUUUAUUGUUACUAGAUGGUAAAACCUGAGUAUUUUAUGUGUAACUUAUACUUUUUAAUUAAUUCAAAUAUUUUUAAAUAAGAUAAAUGAUUAAAAUUGAAUAAAAGACAUACGACUGUGUUUAAA
rfam:Oryza barthii chromosome 2, whole genome shotgun sequence.